rnacentral:piRNA from 1 species
UGCCAAGUUCAUCUCUGACUGACUCGGUGU